UACGGGGGGGGCAAGCGUUGUUCGGAAUUACUGGGCGUAAAGGGCUCGUAGGCGGCCCUCUCAGUCGGAUGUGAAAUCCCCAGGCUUAACCUGGGAAUGGCAUCCGAUACUGGAUGGCUUGAGUUCGGGAGAGGGAUGCGGAAUUCCAGGUGUAGCGGUGAAAUGCGUAGAUAUCUGGAGGAACACCGGUGGCGAAGGCGGCAUCCUGGACCGACACUGACACUGAGGAGCGAAAGCCAGGGGAGCAAACGGG
rnacentral:rRNA from 1 species